rnacentral:rRNA from 1 species
UACGUAGGGCGCAAGCGUUAUCCGGAAUUAUUGGGCGUAAAGAGCUCGUAGGCGGUCUGUCGCGUCGGCUGUGAAAACCCGAGGCUCAACCUCGGGCCUGCAGUCGAUACGGGCAAACUGGAGUGUUGCAGGGGAGACUGGAAUUCCUGGUGUAGCGGUGAAAUGCGCAGAUAUCAGGAGGAACACCGGUGGCGAAGGCGGGUCUCUGGGCAACAACUGACGCUGAGGAGCGAAAGCGUGGGGAGCAAACGGG